CUUCACUGCUGGAGAUCCUAGUUUUGAAACAAAAAGCAAGUCCUUGGAAUCCAUGCUGCGUGAAUUGGAAAACUGUCCUGAAGACAUACUCAUAUUAUUAUGGUGAACAAAUAUAUUUAUGUUUAUUAAAUGAUGACAAAAAUGGAAAACAUGCAU